rnacentral:rRNA from 1 species
GUUGGUGGCAAGCGUUGUCCGGAAUUAUUGGGCGUAAAGCGCGCGCAGGCGGUUCUUCAAGUCUGAUGUGAAAGCCCACGGCUCAACCGUGGAGGGUCAUUGGAAACUGGAGAACUUGAGUACAGAAGAGGAAAGCGGAAUUCCACGUGUAGCGGUGAAAUGCGUAGAGAUGUGGAGGAACACCAGUGGCGAAGGCGGCUUUCUGGUCUGUAACUGACGCUGAGGCGCGAAAGCGUGGGGAGCAAACAGGAUUAGAUACCCUGGUAGUCCACGCCGUAAACGAUGAGUGCUAAGUGUUAGGGGGGUUUCCGCCCCCCUUAGUGCUGCAGCUAACGCAUUAAGCACUCCGCCUGGGAGUACGGCCGCAAGGCUG